UUAAGCGACUAAGCGUACACGGUGGAUGCCCUGGCAGUCAGAGGCGAUGAAGGACGUGCUAAUCUGCGAUAAGCGUCGGUGAGGUGAUAUGAACCGUUAUAACCGGCGAUUUCCGAAUGGGGAAACCCAGUGUGUUUCGACACACUAUCAUUAACUGAAUCCAUAGGUUAAUGAGGCGAACCGGGGGAACUGAAACAUCUAAGUACCCCGAGGAAAAGAAAUCAACCGAGAUUCCCCCAGUAGCGGCGAGCGAACGGGGAGGAGCCCAGAGCCUGAAUCAGUGUGUGUGUUAGUGGAAGCGUCUGGAAAGGCGCGCGAUACAGGGUGACAGCCCCGUACACAAAAAUGCACAUACUGUGAGCUCGAUGAGUAGGGCGGGACACGUGGUAUCCUGUCUGAAUAUGGGGGGACCAUCCUCCAAGGCUAAAUACUCCUGACUGACCGAUAGUGAACCAGUACCGUGAGGGAAAGGCGAAAAGAACCCCGGCGAGGGGAGUGAAAAAGAACCUGAAACCGUGUACGUACAAGCAGUGGGAGCCUCUUAAUGGGGUGACUGCGUACCUUUUGUAUAAUGGGUCAGCGACUUAUAUUCUGUAGCAAGGUUAACCGAAUAGGGGAGCCGAAGGGAAACCGAGUCUUAACUGGGCGUUAAGUUGCAGGGUAUAGACCCGAAACCCGGUGAUCUAGCCAUGGGCAGGUUGAAGGUUGGGUAACACUAACUGGAGGACCGAACCGACUAAUGUUGAAAAAUUAGCGGAUGACUUGUGGCUGGGGGUGAAAGGCCAAUCAAACCGGGAGAUAGCUGGUUCUCCCCGAAAGCUAUUUAGGUAGCGCCUCGUGAAUUCAUCUCCGGGGGUAGAGCACUGUUUCGGCAAGGGGGUCAUCCCGACUUACCAACCCGAUGCAAACUGCGAAUACCGGAGAAUGUUAUCACGGGAGACACACGGCGGGUGCUAACGUCCGUCGUGAAGAGGGAAACAACCCAGACCGCCAGCUAAGGUCCCAAAGUCAUGGUUAAGUGGGAAACGAUGUGGGAAGGCCCAGACAGCCAGGAUGUUGGCUUAGAAGCAGCCAUCAUUUAAAGAAAGCGUAAUAGCUCACUGGUCGAGUCGGCCUGCGCGGAAGAUGUAACGGGGCUAAACCAUGCACCGAAGCUGCGGCAGCGACGCUUAUGCGUUGUUGGGUAGGGGAGCGUUCUGUAAGCCUGUGAAGGUGGCCUGUGAGGGUUGCUGGAGGUAUCAGAAGUGCGAAUGCUGACAUAAGUAACGAUAAAGCGGGUGAAAAGCCCGCUCGCCGGAAGACCAAGGGUUCCUGUCCAACGUUAAUCGGGGCAGGGUGAGUCGACCCCUAAGGCGAGGCCGAAAGGCGUAGUCGAUGGGAAACAGGUUAAUAUUCCUGUACUUGGUGUUACUGCGAAGGGGGGACGGAGAAGGCUAUGUUGGCCGGGCGACGGUUGUCCCGGUUUAAGCGUGUAGGCUGGUUUUCCAGGCAAAUCCGGAAAAUCAAGGCUGAGGCGUGAUGACGAGGCACUACGGUGCUGAAGCGACAAAUGCCCUGCUUCCAGGAAAAGCCUCUAAGCAUCAGGUAACAUUAAAUCGUACCCCAAACCGACACAGGUGGUCAGGUAGAGAAUACCAAGGCGCUUGAGAGAACUCGGGUGAAGGAACUAGGCAAAAUGGUGCCGUAACUUCGGGAGAAGGCACGCUGAUAUGUAGGUGAAGCGACUUGCUCGUGGAGCUGAAAUCAGUCGAAGAUACCAGCUGGCUGCAACUGUUUAUUAAAAACACAGCACUGUGCAAACACGAAAGUGGACGUAUACGGUGUGACGCCUGCCCGGUGCCGGAAGGUUAAUUGAUGGGGUUAGCGGUAACGCGAAGCUCUUGAUCGAAGCCCCGGUAAACGGCGGCCGUAACUAUAACGGUCCUAAGGUAGCGAAAUUCCUUGUCGGGUAAGUUCCGACCUGCACGAAUGGCGUAAUGAUGGCCAGGCUGUCUCCACCCGAGACUCAGUGAAAUUGAACUCGCUGUGAAGAUGCAGUGUACCCGCGGCAAGACGGAAAGACCCCGUGAACCUUUACUAUAGCUUGACACUGAACAUUGAGCCUUGAUGUGUAGGAUAGGUGGGAGGCUUUGAAGUGUGGACGCCAGUCUGCAUGGAGCCGACCUUGAAAUACCACCCUUUAAUGUUUGAUGUUCUAACGUGGGCCCCUUACCGGGGUUGCGGACAGUGUCUGGUGGGUAGUUUGACUGGGGCGGUCUCCUCCUAAAGAGUAACGGAGGAGCACGAAGGUUGGCUAAUCCUGGUCGGACAUCAGGAGGUUAGUGCAAUGGCAUAAGCCAGCUUGACUGCGAGCGUGACGGCGCGAGCAGGUGCGAAAGCAGGUCAUAGUGAUCCGGUGGUUCUGAAUGGAAGGGCCAUCGCUCAACGGAUAAAAGGUACUCCGGGGAUAACAGGCUGAUACCGCCCAAGAGUUCAUAUCGACGGCGGUGUUUGGCACCUCGAUGUCGGCUCAUCACAUCCUGGGGCUGAAGUAGGUCCCAAGGGU
rnacentral:rRNA from 1 species